rnacentral:rRNA from 1 species
AUUGAACGCUAGCGGCAUGCUUUACACAUGCAAGUCGAACGAGUGGCGGACGGGUGAGUAAUAUAUCGGAACCUGCCCAGUAGCGGGGGAUAACUACUGGAAACAGUGGCUAAUACCGCAUACUAUCGGAUCAGCCCAUAUGGGAUUAGCUAGUUGGUGGGGUAAAGGCUCACCAAGGCAACGAUCCGUAGCUGGUUUGAGAGGAUGACCAGCCACACUGGGACUGAGACACGGCCCAGACUCCUACGGGAGGCAGCAGUGGGGAAUAUUGGACAAUGGGGGAAACCCUGAUGCAGCCAUGCCGCGUGUAUGAGAAGGCCUUAGGGUUGUAAAGUACUUUUGGCAGAGAAGCGUUAUCUGCAGAAGAAGCACCGGCUAACUACGUGCCAGCAGCCGCGGUAAUAC